AGACGUGGGUUUUGAUCUCCGCCCUGGUUUGUCGUUCAGUCCCUACGUUUAGAGUUAGGAGCUCAAAGCAGAAUACACAGUGCUCCAUCCUCCCAUUUUUUUCCCCCACAACAAAAACUCUUUGAGGGAAAAAAGGGAGAGCAAGAAGAUGGCCGUUCCGAGGUCUUUUUCUGGGGAAAAAGAACUCCAUCUAAUGAAGAACUGAUAUUGGAAGCAUGGUGGAGAAUGCUCCAAGGACUGUUGGCCCGAAGACAAUGGGAAGAAAAAUUGUGUUUUUCUGAGGAAACAGAAGAGUUGAAAUGGAGUUUUGAGAAGAAUGAACCUGUUAGUGAUAAGGAGAAAGAGUGACAUCUUUCUCCAGGUAAAAAGGUGGAUCAGCUGAACAGUUCCUGGAGGGAGGGACCAAAUAGAUACAGAUAAGAGUGGGGUUUGGUGGAGCACAGUUGGGGGUUUUGGGGAACAUGUCAGGUAAUCUGGAAGGAGUUUGAGCCUAUUGGUCCCGAGAAAGUAGACAGGAUUCUUGUUGCUGUUCUCCCUUUGACAGCAUAACACCUGCUUCAAAAUGGGUCCAAUGAAGCUAGGAUUUCAAUAAACAAUCUUAAGCCACAGAUGUUCCAAGAAUUCUUUUUGGAAUGAGAGGAAUCAGUCAGUUCUGGAGGAAACUGAUGUUGGCUUGCC